UAAGGAAUAUUGGUCAAUGGACGCAAGUCUGAACCAGCCAUGCCGCGUGAAGGAUGAAGGUCCUCUGGAUUGUAAACUUCUUUUAUCUGGGACGAAAACGGGAUUUUUAUCUCAAUUGACGGUACCAGAGGAAUAAGCACCGGCUAACUCCGUGCCAGCAGCCGCGGUAAUACGGAGGGUGCGAGCGUUAUCCGGAUUUACUGGGUUUAAAGGGUGCGUAGGUGGGCUUAUAAGUCAGUGGUGAAAUCUCCGAGCUUAACUUGGAAACUGCCGUUGAUACUAUAGGUCUUGAAUUAUCUGGAGGUAAGCGGAAUAUGUCAUGUAGCGGUGAAAUGCUUAGAUAUGACGUAGAACACCAAUUGCGAAGGCAGCUUACUACAUAUAAAUUGACGCUGAGGCACGAAAGCGUGGGGAUCAAACA
rnacentral:rRNA from 1 species